rnacentral:rRNA from 1 species
AUUGAACGCUGGCGGCAGGCUUAACACAUGCAAGUCGAGCGAGCGGCGGGCGGGUGAGUAAUGGCUGGGAAACUGCCUGAUGGAGGGGGAUAACUACUGGAAACGGUAGCUACUACAGCAUACCAUCAGGUGAGCACAGAUGGGAUUAGUUAGUAGGUGGGGUAAUGGCUCACCUAGCCGACGAGCCCUAGCUGGUCUGAGAGGAAGACCAUCCAAACUGGAACGGAUACACGGUCCCGACUCCUACGGGAGGCAGCAGGGGGGAAGAUUGAACAAUUGGCGCAAGCCUUAUGCAGCCAUGCCGCGUGAGUGAAGAAGUCUUUCGGGUUGUAAAGCACUAUCAGCGAGGAGGCGUUACUCGCAGAAGAAGCACCGGCUAACUCCGUGCCAGCAGCCGCGGUAAUAC